rnacentral:rRNA from 1 species
UACAGAGGUCUCAAGCGUUGUUCGGAUUCAUUGGGCGUAAAGGGCGCGUAGGCGGCUUUGCAAGUGACGGGUGAAAUCCCUCGGCUUAACCGAGGAACUGCCUGUCAAACUGCAUGGCUUGAGACCGGGAGAGGUGAGUGGAAUUCCCAGUGUAGCGGUGAAAUACGUAGAGAUUGGGAAGAACACCAGUGGCGAAGGCGGCUAUCUGGACGGUUUCUGACGCUAAGACGCGAAAAGCGUGGGGAGCAAACAGG